GACGAACCGUGCGAACGUUAUUCGGAAUCACUGGGCCUAAAGCGCGUGUAGGCGGCCCGGCACGUCCGGCGCUGAAAUCCCCCGGCUCAACCGGGGAAGCGGCGCGGAUACGACCGGGCUGGAGGGGGGUAGGGGGGACGGGAACUGCCGGUGGAGCGGUGAAAUGCGUUGAGAUCGGCAGGAACGCCCGCGGCGAAAGCGCGUCCCUGGACCACGCCUGACGCUGAGACGCGAAAGCCAGGGGAGCGAACGGG
rnacentral:rRNA from 1 species